CAGACAGGCCUGGAGACUGAAGUCCUGUGUCUGUACACAGAACAGGUACAGUAUGGGCAGUCACACAUUAAACUCUACUGCACUGUCCACUAGCUCUAAUCUGGAGGAAUCACUUCUAGGAGGGAGAUUGUAGUUGUCGCUAUGAGAUUUUCUAUGUCCUUUCUCCC
rnacentral:sRNA from 1 species